UGGGAUUUCACUUGGCAUAAGGGCCUCUUUUUCUUGCUCUUCCAAUUCCUCCUUUACAAAUUGGUUUUCAUCCUCAAUGCUUGGCAAUCCUAAGUGUUUCCUUAUUUGCUCUAAGUGCCUAUCCAUCUUCUUGAAGAGGAUUUCUUGUUCUUUCCAAGAUUCUAAAAUUUCUCUA